GAUGAAGAACGUAGCGAAAUGCGAUACGUAAUGUGAAUUGCAGAAUUCAGUGAAUCAUCGAAUCUUUGAACGCAUAUUGCGCUCUCUGGUAUUCCGGAGAGCAUGCUUGUUUGAGUAUCAGUAAACACCUCAACUUCCAUAUCUUUUUUGAAAUGGGAGUUGGACUUGAGUGAUCCCAACGCUUUUCCUCACCGAAAAGUGGCGGGUUACUUGAAAUGCAGGUGCAGCUGGACUUUUCUCUGAGCUAUAAGCAUAUCUAUUUAGUCUGCCUAAAAAACAGAUUAUUACCUUUGCUGCAGCUAACAUAAAGGAGAUUAGUUCUUGUGCUGACUGAUGCAGGAUUCACAAAGACAGGCUUCGGCCGACUUUGUAAACUCGAUCUCAAAUCAAGUAAGACUACCCGCUGAACUUAAGCAUAUCAAUAAGCGUAGGA
rnacentral:misc_RNA from 1 species